AUGCAAGUCGAACGAAGUAGCAAUACUUAGUGGCAGACGGGUGAGUAACAUGUAGGUAUCUGCCCUUUGGCCUGGAAUAACACGAGGAAACUUGUGCUAAUACCGGAUAAGUCUUUACGGAGAAAGCUUUAUGCACCAUUGGAUGAGCCUGCACUUGAUUAGUUUGUUGGUGGGGUAAUGGCCUACCAAGACUUUGAUCAAUAGCUGAUUUGAGAGGAUGAUCAGCCACAUUGGGACUGAGACACGGCCCAAACUCCUACGGGAGGCAGCAGUGGGGAAUCUUGCACAAUGGAGGAAACUCUGAUGCAGCGAUGCCGCGUGAGUGGAGAAGGCCCUUGGGUUGUAAAGCUCUUUCGUCGGGGAAGAAAAUGACUGUACCCGAAUAAGAAGGUCCGGCUAACUUCGUGCCAGCAGCCGCGGUAAUACGAAGGGACCUAGCGUAGUUCGGAAUUACUGGGCUUAAAGAGUUCGUAGGUGGUUGAAAAAGUUGGUGGUGAAAUCCCAGAGCUUAACUCUGGAACUGCCAUCAAAACUUUUCAGCUAGAGUAUGAUAGAGGAAAGCAGAAUUUCUAGUGUAGAGGUGAAAUUCGUAGAUAUUAGAAAGAAUACCAAUUGCGAAGGCAGCUUUCUGGAUCAUUACUGACACUGAGGAACGAAAGCAUGGGUAGCGAAGAGGAUUAGAUAUCCUCGUAGUCCAUGCCGUAAACGAUGUGUGUUAGAUGUUGGAAAUUUAUUUUCAGUGUCGCAGCGAAAGCGAUAAACACACCGCCUGGGGAGUACGACCGCAAGGUUAAAACUCAAAUGAAUUGACGGGGACCCGCACAA
rnacentral:rRNA from 1 species